UUAGUCUGCACGUGGGGAGGGACCAGCAGAGGGAUCCCUUUAGUCAGGGAGGGAUGUGAUCUGACUUUCCCUGUACAAGAAGCACACUAGUUCUGAAGCAGAUGGAGGAGAAGAGAGGAAACGUGGAGGCUCUUAUGGUCCAGUCAAAAGAUGGCAGUGGCUUGUGCUACAGUGUUGCAACAGUGAUGGAACAAUUACAGUGAAACACAUUGGAGAAAGUUAUCCAAUCUCCAAGUUUGCUAAUUCUGCUUCUAAAAUAGCUCUAAAGUCUUCACUUGCUCAUGGCGGGGAUAAUUAAAACUAGUGAAGUGAAGUCAGGGAUGUGCAUGCGAGGCUGCGCAGAGAGAACCUGACGGUGAUUACAGACGCCAUGGCUUCUUUCAAGGUGGAAUUUCUGUGUUUUGCUGAUGAGAAAAAGAAGAAUCAAGAUGGCUUAACAAGACACUGGCAGUGGGAGAGUCAAGACCAAGAGUCUGAGGGUAAGGAGAGGAGAAAGAGACAGAAGCUAGAGAAGAGAAAGACUCCCAGAAGCUCCCAGAGGCUCCCAGAGGUGGACCUGGAUUGGAUUGAAAGCCAUUUUGAAGGGAGAGGCAAGGGCAUCUUUGCACCCUCUGCUCUGCUUCUUGAGUGAACAAGACUCUGUCAGAUUGUUCUCUUUCUGGUAACAAUCUGGACCUGCAACCUCUUCUGGAUGCCAGACAAGAUGGAGGGGUCACGAUAAUAAAGACUUUCACGAGUUUUCUCACAACGUUGGCACCCUGAUUUUUUUUGUGUUUUGUACAUGGUUUUCAUGUCCUCUACUU